CCGGUAUGCAUUGGCACAUCCAUUUCUGUGCCCACAUGGUAAUGCCUCUUUGUGAGGCAGAGUGCAAAACCACUGGGAAAAUUAAGAAUCACACUCAGAACUGAAGUUCAUACAGGGGAGAAGGAAACAGACAUGCAGUAGGCAGCCUAGAUGUGAGCCCUAGCAAGAGACUACUGAUGGAUUCCCCAAAGUGACUGCCUAAAUGUAGUGUGUUUACUACAAAGCUUGUCACAGACAGCUAAAAUGCAAAUACAAAUGAACUUUGAUGUACUUCGUGGCAAGACUCCCAGCCCUUCGAGCAAAUUCCUGAGUGAGGAAGCUGGUUCUGAAACAUGCCUGGGAACUGCACACAUGUGAACUUCCUGAGGCCUCUUCUCUUUAGCACUUAACAGACAGCUUAAUGCAGUUAAGUAACAAGAUCUUGGAAGACAAGUGUUGAAGGUGAAAGAGGCACAAGAUAGAAGAAACCUGGGUCCUUAGAUCCUUGCUUGGAGGAAAACCACCUGCCAAUCCAGAACAUCAUUUUGGACUUCAUUUCAUAUUAGAUAUUAUGUUACCAAUGAGCAGGGACUAUGAUGAAUGUGUCUUUAGAACACCCAAUGAAGUGCCACUUGCCACAAGAAGCUAAGUCACAAUCUGAUGGCCAGAGGAGGCAAUCAUUCUUCCUACAGUUUUGUGCAUAAACCUUCCUGCCUCUCUGCUGGGGACCACCUAUGGGGAAAGGAAAACUUCUCUCUCAUGGCUCUCCUUUCCCAGGAAAACUUUAGCUCCUGUUGAGACCAACACCUUCCCUGGAGAAUGCAGAGUGAAGGGAUUAGGCCCAUCACAAUUUUCCAUUCAUGAUGUUGGGUCAAGCAAGGCAUCACACAGAAUGAAUAGAAACAGAAACAGCCCCACAUGUGAAGUAGGAGCCAUGCUGGAAUGAACAAGGGCCACGGUAUGGGUGAGUUACACGGUACAGAGCACAGGGGCUGACUGCUUUGUGCUCUUCCAGGUGGGAUCAUUACUUGCCAGCCUUCCAGCUGAUGCCAGUGGCAACAGCACGACAGGCUGAACUGGAUUCUUUAUGACUAUGUAUUCAUUAGGGGGAAAAAGCACUUCCAAUGCAAAUGAUUGAAAUGGAAACAAGAUGUGCACUCUGCUGCCUAAAUGAAAGCUCUACCAGGUAGGCCAUUCAAACUCAAUUAAGAGUAGCAAAACAGGAUCUAUCAGGACAGUGGCUGUAACCCCUGUCACAGAGAAUGGACAGUGAGCGGUCCAAAUGGAUUGGGGGGCAUGAAUGGCACCUGACUUACAGCAGGAGCUCAGCACUUUUACUCUCUUUGCCGCUUCACUGGAACCAGGAGAAAAAGACAUUAGGAUGAAGGAUAAUGUGUGAUACACACAUAAAGAUGAAAGCGAGAGGGACACAUGCAAUGUCACUUAUUGGAAGGACCACUUUAGGCUGCUCUGUCCUCUCUCCCCUGAAAACAUGUUCCACAUUGUUUUAACCAUCUGUGGCCCACUCUGGAGCUCAAGGAACCCUGGCCUUUCUGCUUUAUUGUGAGCACAGCCAUAUGAAACUGCAAUCUGGCAGCUGAAGGGGAAAGUACUUUUACUGUCUCUGCUGAGAAAGGGUUUGGAUGAAUCGAAUCCCCUGUUAUGCGUGAAAUUGUACCCUCUAGAAAGCUCUGUUGAUGACCCAACCCACGGUACCUGUGAAUGUGACCUUAUUUGAAAAUAUGGUCUUAUAAAUGUAAUCAAGCAAAGAUGAGAUGAUACUGAAUUAGGGUGGGCCUCCACCAACAUGACUGGUGUCCUUAUGAGAAGCAAGGAAGAGACAUAAGGAGAACAUGGUGUGACAAUUGAGACAGAGAUUGGAGUGAUGCAUCUACAAGCCAAGAAAUGUCAAGGGCCGUGAGCCACACCAGAAGCUAAGAGAAAGGCAUGGGACUGACCCUCCCCUAGAGCCAUCAGAAAGAGCCUGACCCUGGCGGCACCUUGCUUUUGGACUUCUAGACUCCAGAAUUAUGAGAAUAAAUUUGUGUUGCUUUAAGCCACUCAGUUUGUGGUAAUUUGUUAUGACAGUUCUAAGAAACUAAUCCACCCUGCUAAAGAGUAAAUGUCUGAUGCAAAACUCACUACAUGGAUGAAAAGGCUGAGAUAUUCCGAAGAGUCAUAAUGAACUGUGCCGUCAUCUACAAAGGAAGUGCAGCACUGCAACAACUCAAGAUAGAUUCUGGAGACGUGGCAGGACAGACGUGCCUACCAGACUAGGAGCACUUUCAGGACAGCGUCAUGCCUUGUUCUCCUCCACAUCCCUCCGUGCCUGAAAAUCAGAAAUGCUCAAUUAAAUGUUGAAAAUGUCAAUAAAUUCAUAGGAAAACGAUCUCAGAUAAGUCAAUAACGUUAUGUUAUUUUAUUUUAUUUUUGAAAUGGAGUCUUGCUUUGUCACCCAGGCUGGAGUGUAGUGGCACGAUCUCAGCUCAUUGCAACCUCUGCCUCCCAGGUUCAAGCGAUUCUCCUGCCUCGGCCCCCUGAGUAGCUAGGAUUAUAGGCAUGCACCACCACGUCCAGCUAAUUUUUGUAUUUUUAGUGGAGACGGAGUUUCACCAUGUUGGUCAGGCUGGUCUCGAACUCCUGACCUCGUGAUCCACCCACCUCGGCUUCCCAAAUUGCUGGGCUUACAGGUGUGAGCCACCGCACCCAGCCAUGAUUAACCUUAUUUUAUGAUGUCAUGUAAGUCCUUACCACCACCUUCCAUGAAGACGUAACUGACAAAGACAUCUGAUUUGAUGCUUUCAUUGGAGAAACCCACCCUUGGCCAUUGAAGAGCACAACUUUGGGUUUCUUUGAGAUUUAAUCUGGUCCUUGGAUUCCCAAAUGGCAGACGUGGCCAGUAACAGCUUUUUACAAAUCUUCAAAUCCCACUGACACUGGGAUUCUGCCCCUCAGACGUGGCUGUGGUUUUUUCACUGGCAGGGCAGGAUAUGUUACUCUCCGCUUAACAUCGGCCCACUCACAGUGUUAGUUAGCCUGCUGUUUCAUACAUGAAUCCAUCUGAAAUGCCUCCGAGUCUCCAGGUGAAGGGUGCUGCCAUCAGCAGCAGCCAAUAAAUGAAAUAAUACCAAAUAUAAAAUCAGCCACAUUGGUCUCCUGGAGGUAAAUAGAGCACAGGGGCGUUUCAUUUACUGAAAGGCCAGAAUUGCGAUACCUGUAAAUGUUGAAUGUGAAUGUGUUUUAUAAAGUGUAAAGGGCUGUAAAGAAGUCAGUUAUUAUGUUUAUUAUUGCUCCUGCUCUGUACACUUGAUCAAAUGACAAACCCAAAGGCUCACCUCUCUGGGCUCCGGUUUCCUUACUCAAAUGAGGGAAUUAUGUUUAAUAUCCCAAGCUCCCAACUAAAUCUUUUUUUUUUCCUUUGACUCUAUGAAUCUAUCAGCAGGAACUUCCAUCCAAAUUCCUGAAAUGUGGGAAUAUAUUUGAUGACGCUGUUUACAUAUAAUAUUAAUUUAUUUUGCAUAAAUUUUUCAGAAUAUGUUUUGUAUAACAUAGAAGAUGAAGGGGGAAAAAGUAAAGUAAGAUGGGAAAGUAGGCCAUAAGGAAGGAUAAGGAGAAACGCUUAAGAAAAUCCACCUAUUAUAAUAAUUAAAAUUCAGCUUACCUGGAAAGGGGAGGAGAGCAUUUAUGAUUAACAUGAAUGUAGUCUGUGCUCAUUGCAAAGUAAAUUUUCAGAAAAAAAGGGCAAAAUCUGAUUAUUUUAAUCGUCAGAUUAAAUGCAAUUAGAAAUCCCACCUACCUUUUAAAGUAAACAGCAAACUUAGUAUUUUACUACAUAAAAGAAACAAUUGAAAUAAUCCUAACUUCAGGUUAUCGUUGCAUAUAACAGAACAUUAUAUUUGAAAAUGAUCCUCAUUGAGUUUUUUGGAUUCAACAACUUUUUCUGUGGCUAAAAAUGUCCCUUGAGUUUCUGAAAUCUGCUAGAAUGCUGGGAAGAGCUGUGCAGAAAUACCUCCAAAGGGUCAGAAAGUAAUUUAGGAUUUUUAAUUCAAUGGAAUCAAUCUUUCUUGUGUAUUUUUACUUACUUUUUUAGACAAUAGGCCAAUGAUUGUAGGGUUUGUUCUAGCCUUGAAACCAACUCUCUGCAGAGCAAUUCCUGUUUCCACAAAGGGUGCAUCAGGAUGCAUGGGACCCCCGGAUCACAGGCCCCACGUGUGAACGAAGCAACACAGACCAUGGAUAACAGAGACCUCUCUAGGGUGAGUUCUCUUGAGAUGCAGGGCACGAUCAACAGGACGAACAAGCCUAAAGAUGACAAAUGGGUAUACUGGCAUGGGCUGGACGAAAGGAGGCAAUAGGGCUAAAAACACAGAACCAAACCUGUCAUUUCUCUCCACAACUUCCUUUUGAUCUCAAAUAUCAUGUGUUCUCACUUAUAAGUGGGAGCUAAACAAUGGGUACACUUGGGCAUGAAGAUGGAAAUCAUAGACACUGUGGAUUCCAAAGUAGGGGAGAAUGGGAGAGGGGCAAGGGUUCAAAAAUUACCUGUUAGGCACUAUGUUCACUAUCUUUUUUUUUUUUUUCUUUUUUGAGACGGAGUCUCGCUUUGUCGCCCAGCCUGGAGUGCAAUGGCGCGAUCCCGGCUCACUGCAACCUCUGCCCACCAGGUUCAAGUGAUUCUCCUGCCUCAGCCUCCUCAGUAGCUGGGACUACAGGCAUGCGCCACCACGCCUGGCUAAUUUUUGUAUUUUUAGUAGAGACAGGGUUUCGCCAUGUUGGGCAGGCUGAUCUCAAACUCCUGACCUCAAGUGAUCCGCCCACCUCGGCCUCCCAAAGUGCUGGGAUUACACAUGAGAGCCACCGCACCUGGCCUAUGUUCACUAUCUGGGUAACAAGUACACUAGAAGCCCAAUCCCACUGUUAUGCAAUAUACCCAUGCCUAUGUACGUGUACCCCCUGAAAACAUGCAUAUGUACCCCCGAAUCUAAAAUAAAAUAAAAGAGAUGCAGAAAAGAAUAAUUUAAAAAAUAUUUUGAGAAAUGUAUAACAAGAGCCAUAAAAGUGUUUAUAUUCCCUUGUCCUAGUAAUUCUGCUUGUGGAUAUUUAUCUUAACAAAAUCAUCAGAAAUGUGUAGAAUGAUUUAUGGAUAAGCAUGUUCACUGAAGCAUUCCUUAGACUAUAGGAAAAUUUGGGAAAAAAACCCCAAUAUACAAAAAUGAGGAAACACUUAAAUUAAUCGUAGUCCAUUCAGAUGAUGGAAUGCAGUGUAGAUAUGUAAAAAUCAUAUUUUCAGAGAUGGCUGUUGAUCAAUGAAAAUGCCCAAUCUAUAACAUUCCAUGAAAAAGACAGAUAUACAGCCAUAUAUUCCAUACAAUUAUAAUUUUAAAUAUGUAUGAAUGUGUGUGUAUAUAUAAUAUAUGUGAAAAAAUUGGAAAGAAAUACACUAAAAUGUUAACUCAUUAUCUCUAAGUGGCAGGAUUAUGAGAUUACAGGUGAUUGUUUCUGGUUCUUUGUAUUUUUUAGUAUUUUUUUUUAUUUUUUUGAGAUGGAUUCUCACUCUGUUGCCCAGGCUGGAGUGCAGUGGCAUGAUCUCAGCUCACUGCAACCUCUGCCUCCCAGGUUCAAGCGAUUCUCCUGCCUCAACCUCCCGAGUAGCUGGGACUACAGGUGCGCACCACCGUGCCCAGAUAAUUUUUGUAUUUUUAGUGGAGAUGGGGUUUCAUCAUGUUGGCCAGGAUGGUCUUGAUCUCUUGACCUCAUGAUCCACCCUGCUUGGCCUCCCAAACUGUUGGGAUUACAGGCGUGAGCCACUGCGCCUGGCCUAUAUUUUAGUGUUCUAAGAUUUUUCUACAAUGACUCUGUAUUGCUUUUAAUGUCAAAAAUCUCAAUAAUUUUGAAGGUUAUGGUAUUUAUAUACUUUUUUAAAAAAUGACAAAUGUUCUCCCUAAAUCAGAAAUGUGGACACCGUGUUUUGGCUUUAGUGUAGUGAGGUGGAGUAUUAUGAUUAAAUACUGUGUUUUCAAGCAUUAAUGACUCAAAGAGCAGGUACUUACAGAGCACCUAUUAUUGCCAUCAACCAGUGUUAUUGAGCACUUACUCAAUAAGUGUUGGCCUCUGACUUUACGCCUAAGAGUCAGGAGACCACAAAAAAGCAACAAUGUCAGGUCUGCAAGGUGAAGGCAAGAAGCUCAUGUUCUAGGUACUUGUGACUGUCCUGUAAUGCUAAAGAAUGAACCAUUACCAAAGAUUUGGCAAACUCGCCCAAGCUUACUCCUAAGGAGUCUAACCUUUGCCCAAGUAUCUAGGACUCAGGCCCACCUGCUUAGCCUGGUCUCACUGAAGUGUGGAGGCAAAGCAUUUGCAGCUUCAUCAUAUUCCAUUUUGUCUCAUAAGGAAAUUGUGUUAGUCCAAGAGGCUUGGUGUGUUACAUGGUUGUACAGCUUAGUGCUUUCUUAGCACUCUGUUUAAGUGCUGACAACUUGAUAUUUUCAUCAAUGGUUGCUAUAUUUCUCCAAUGUUAGGUUGACAGGCUAAUAAUUUCAGAAGUCAAUUUCUCCCUCUCUCUCUCUUCUCCCAGUUUACAUAUUUCUAUUUUCCAAUUCCUUUAUCUGCAUUUUGUAAAUACCUCAAAAUAGUGGAAGGCAAGGCCUCUAGGAUCACUUGGCCCAAUCUCCAUAUAAUUGGAUCCUUAGGGCUUGCUAUAUCUUUAAAGAAAUUGAGGUCACCUUUUGUCACCAAGAAUUAAGCACCUGUUGUGUGACUGAUGGAGAUCUGUACACAGAGCACAUUGCCCAGGGCAGGGGUGAUUUGGUUACAGGCAGCCUCUCGAUGUAUGAUAAAAGUUGGCAUCAGGUUGUAAACAUUUUGCUCACUGUAGCAGAAAGCUCUCUGUGAACGGAGAGCUGUCUAAACAGGGUGGUUGGCCACAGAACCUGCCCAGGGAUGCACCUCCUUUCCACAUUAGCCCAUGGCCUUUCCAGCCCUGAAAUCUGAGUUGCAUGUGAGUCACUUAGACAGGCCAUCUGUCAAUUAUUAAGCGACAUCAGUGGGCCCAGCAAUUCCAUUCUGCGUAGUGCAAAGGUCCUCCACACAUUCCAGGUCUAUACCAUCAAAGUGGCUAUUUUUCUCAACCUAUCCCUGCCCUUUAAGAAAAUGGGGGUCAUUUAUUUCCAGGGAUCACUAUUUACACCCCAUUGGCAGGUAGUGGAGCCCAGUGGUUAAUAAACAACCUUGUUUUAAAUCCCAUCUCUGUUGUUUGCAAGCUGUGUGUCUUUCAGAAACUUUACUUAAAUUUCUUGAGCAUCAGUUUCCUCACAAGGGUGUGGUCAAGUGAUAAUCAAGUAUUUGUACUUUAACCCUGUACCUGGCUGAUAGCAAGCCCUCAGAAAAGAAUUAACUUAGAGUUUUUAUACAUUCCCUCCAGUACAAUGUUCCUAACAUACAAGGGGCAUAUGUGUGUAUUAUGAGUGGGAAGAAGGAAGGAAGGAUGCAAUUGAUAAGGCUUGCAUUCAACAUUGCUGUAGUCAAACCCUCUUUCCUUAGGAAGAUCUGGAUGUGCCAACAUUUCUUAUAUAUCAUAUGUGGAGGUGACUUAGGUUUUUCUUUCAGUACUUCAUCAUUUGAAAGAGCAUUUGGUGAUAAUGAGCAGGUUCUGAAGUCUGUGAACUAAACUAAAAGUAAAAAUAAAUGGGACGGUGAAAUUUUGUUUGUGCCUUAAGGGAACUCCCUUUUACCCUCCCACUAUGUUGAUGAUGUCAUGUUUGUUCUAACAUAUCAUCUAACAAUUCCCUCCAUUCAUUUUUUUUCUCCUUAUUUCUUUUCCUUUCAAGUAACAGUAUCUUCAACAAUCGUUCGGCUGUUCAGGAACUUAAAAAUCAUGAGACGAUUCUUAAAGGAUAGGAACUAACAUUGAUCACACAGUGUGUAAUCCCACAUCUAUAUACUGGCAAAUGAUGGCACAAACACCAUAAAAUCUCAGCUUGCUUUGUAGCCAUUCUGGAUUGCUGAGUUCUAGGCAAGUAAGAGCUGGUCCUUCAAAGCACCAAAAGAAAGAAAGGAAGGAAG
rnacentral:lncRNA from 10 species